rnacentral:rRNA from 1 species
GACGAACGCUGGCGGCGUGCUUAACACAUGCAAGUCGAACGGAAAGGCCUCUUUCGGGGGGUACUCGAGUGGCGAACGGGUGAGUAACACGUGAGUAACCUGCCCUUUACUUUGGGAUAACUUCAGGAAACUGGGGCUAAUACCGGAUAGGAGCUCCUGCUGCCUGGUGGGGGUUGGAAAGUUUCGGCGGUUGGGGAUGGACUCGCGGCUUAUCAGCUUGUUGGUGGGGUAGUGGCUUACCACGGCUUUGACGGGUAGCCGGCCUGAGAGGGUGACCGGCGACAUUGGGACUGAGGGACGGCACAGACGCCUAAGGGAGGCAGCAGUGGGGAAUAUUGCACAAUGGGUGGAAGCCUGAUGCAGCAACGCCGUGUGCGGGAUGACGGCCUUCGGGUUGUAAACCGCUUUCGCUCAUGACGAAGCUUUGUGUGACGGUAGUGGGUAAAGAAGCACCGGCUAACUACGUG